rnacentral:rRNA from 1 species
UACAGAGGAGCCAAGCGUUGUCCGGAUUGACUGGGCGUAAAGCGCACGCAGGCGGAUGCCCGCGUGGGGUGUGAAAUCUGGCCGCUUAACGGCCAGGCGCCAUCCCAUACGGCGCGUCUGGAGUGAUGCAGAGGUCGAUGGAGUUGCCGGUGUAGUGGUGAAAUGCGUAGAGAUCGGCAGGAACACCCAGGGGGAAACCAGUCGACUGGGCAUCUACUGACGCUGAGGUGCGAGAGCGUGGGGAGCGAACCGG